UUAAGUUCAGCGGGUAGUCCUACCUGAUUUGAGGUCAAAUGGUCAUAGAUUGUCCAAUGAAGGACUGUUGGAAGCCAGACUUCAUUGCAACUAUGCAGUGAAGAUAUUAUCACACCACACGUAACAUUGCAUUUCAAUCCAACUAAUACAUUUAAGAGAAGUCGAACCUCGGGCAAGGUCAACAGUCUCCAAAUCCAAUC
rnacentral:misc_RNA from 1 species